CAAUCCGUGAUAUAAAAAAUAAAGCUAUCCUUUUACCAAUUUUUGAUCCAUCUGAUCGAACUGAAGGCCGUCAUAAGAAUGUUGUAGCGUUUCCUCUCAUCCAUGGAUACAAUCUAUAAAAUUAUAUUAUUAUGUGUGAAUUUACAGAUGUCUUCCAAAUUUUGUAUUGUUGAUUUUACGGAUGACAAAAGCGUGGAGGUUGUAUCCAACUUUUGGGUACACAAAGAUUUCUGCUUCUGGCCGUCACGUGAUGUUAUAUUCCCAGCAAGAUGCGUUAAAAAUAGAACGAUACCAAAUAACAAAUGGCCUUCAUUUAAGGCCAGGGUCCUAAAUACUUUUGAUGACUAUGAAACAGCCCGGAAAAACUUAAGAGUGGCCGAAUUAACAUCGGAUUUUCCUAGCAAAGGCGAGGAAGAAGUUGCCGGCAAACGAUAACAUAAGAAAAAUAAAAAAUAUUUUACAGAAUCAUCAGAUUCCCAGGAAAAAAGCGUGAAAUCAAAAAGUAUAUCAUCAACAAUUGCUAAAAAAACCAUUUGUCACGGCAGUCGAAAAUCGUCGAAUAGCUCAAAUUCUGACAAUGAGAGCGAAAAAACUUUACUGCCCAAGGAAAUGAUAAUUCUGAGCUGCCAAUACCACAGAAACUUCAAGAAAAAUCGAAACAAAUAAAUAAAGUUUCUGCUCCACAAUCAACAAGAAGCAUAAUACAUUCAUUGUCAUCGCCUGCCUAUAUAAGGAAUCAGACUCAACACAACAAAGUUAAUUCAUGUGCAACUUUACCUUAAUGUUCCGAGUAUCAAGCAAUUCGAAAUAAGAAAUUUGAUGAUAACGUAAGUCAAACAUGUGAAAAGAGAAAAAAGUUUUAAUACACCGGAGAAUCAGAAUUUGAGAAACACGUAAUCCGCGAUCUAACAAUACUAAAAUUUCAAAACCAUCAAAUAACGGAAAUGUUAACUAAUUUGUCACUC
rnacentral:lncRNA from 13 species